AUAUAAACGAUGUCCAAAAUAUUUUGCAACACUCUCUACUCUUCUUCUCUCUCGCCGUUAACUCCAACUCGAACAAACACAUCGCGAUUCUCAAACAAACUCAGAGUUCGAGCUCAAUCCUAGUCCAUGGACGAUUAUCUCCACCGGAAAUUCAUGGAUUACCCGUACGUGUCACCCACGCGCAGGCAGCUUAUGGUUGGUCUCAUGUCGACGCUGGAGGAUCGCCUCCAAUCGCAUCUCCUUCCCUGUACCCUCCCACCUGAUGUACGAAACUUCAAGAACCCUAACCGUUCCGCUGAAGCAUCUAUUCAUAUCAGAUCCGGUGAUAAAACCUCUCCGGACACAUUAUGGAAAUGGAUGAGGUUGGCUGCCGAGACUACCAAGAAGGGCGAGGUUUAGAUAAAUCAUCAUAUCAAUUGGGAAUUGGGAAUUCGUUUGAAAGCACUGUGCAGUUCCAUCUCCAACACUUAGUAGCCAUGCAGCGAAGUUUCCUUGUGAUUCUUGAAGUCUCAUGUUCUUUUUUAGGGAGAAAACUUUGCAAGAGUCCCACAAGUAUGAUUGUUUAAUUGAUGCUAAUACUGUAUCAGCUCGAGAACCUUGUGGAAUAACUGGUAGUGUUUGUCUGAAGUCCCCACCUAGUAUUACAGUCUUGCCUCCAAAAGGUUGGUCUUUAGCUUCUGAUUUUUUCAUGGACAUCAAGUCUCGUAAUUUUCUGUCAACCGCCUCAAAUGCGUACCGAUGUGCCAUGGGCGCCUCAUCCCAUAUGAUAAGAUCAGUUUUCUCUAUUAGUUCUGCUAACAUCGUUCCUGGCUUUAUAUGACAUAAUGAAUCUUCAUUGAGAUCCAUGGGUAUUUUAAAGCGUGAAUGUGCCGUUUUUCCUGCAGGUAGAAGCAAUGCUGCGAUUCCUGAUGAAGCGACAGGGAGAACAACUUUUCUUUCUGAUCUCAACUUAGAAAUGAUGGUCGAAUAAAGGUUUCCUUUGGUGUAUGUGGUAUCCAAACGUUCGCCACAUUGCUUCACAAGCAGAUAAGUAUCGACAGUCAAGGGUGAUUUUGGUCUAUCCAAUCCACAAGGACCGUGCAUCAUGUGUCUUUCCACAAGCUCAAACCCUUCUGGGUCGUUAUUUUUUUGUGGCAAUUCAGCGGAGAUUAUUGCAUCAACUUCAUUGAUUGCUGGGAUUCUUGAUGCCCCAUCCAACCAAAGCAGUAUGUGUGCAUGUGGCAACCCGCGCUUUUGGAAUUCUAUUUUGUGGAUCACUGUAGAUUAAAAAUAUGUUAUGAGUCAAUGUAAUAUAAAAUUGAGACUUUUUCUACAUUUUAAAUGUGAGGCUAUUAUGAAGAUAUGAAGAAUGACAAAUUUAUGAA